rnacentral:rRNA from 1 species
UACGUAGGGUGCGAGCGUUGUCCGGAAUUAUUGGGCGUAAAGAGCUUGUAGGCGGUUUGUCGCGUCUGCUGUGAAAAUCCGGGGCUCAACCCCGGACUUGCAGUGGGUACGGGCAGACUAAAGUGUGGUAGGGGAGACUGGAAUUCCUGGUGUAGCGGUGAAAUGCGCAGAUAUCAGGGAGGAACACCGGUGGCGAAGGCGGGUCUCUGGGCCGUAACUGACGCUGAGGAGCGAAAGCGUGGGGAGCGAACAGG